UACGUAGGGUGCAAGCGUUGUCCGGAUUUAUUGGGCGUAAAGAGCGUGUAGGCGGCUUUACAGGUCCGUUGUGAAAACUCGAGGCUCAACCUCGAGACGCCGGUGGAAACCGUAAAGCUAGAGUCCGGAAGAGGAGAGUGGAAUUCCUGGUGUAGCGGUGAAAUGCGCAGAUAUCAGGAGGAACACCCGUGGCGAAGGCGGCUCUCUGGGACGGUACUGACGCUGAGACGCGAAAGCGUGGGGAGCAAACAGG
rnacentral:rRNA from 1 species